CUGCUGCCUUCCGUAGGAGUCUGGUCCGUGUCUCAGUACCAGUGUGGGGGACCUUCCUCUCAGAACCCCUAGACAUCGUCGCCUUGGUGGGCCGUUGCCCCGCCAACUAGCUAAUGUCACGCAUGCCCAUCCGUUGCCGGAAUCGCUCCCUUUGGCCGCAGGGCCAUGCAGCCCCGCGGCGUUACGCGGUAUUAGACGGGAUUUCUCCCGAUUAUCCCCCCUGCAACGGGCAGGUCGCAUACGCGUUACUCACCCGUGCG
rnacentral:rRNA from 1 species